rnacentral:rRNA from 1 species
GAUGAACGCUAGCUACAGGCUUAACACAUGCAAGUCGAGGGACCGGCGCACGGGUGAUUAGCACGUAUCCAACCUGCCCUUUACUCUGGGCUAACCUUUCGCAAGAACGAUUAAUACCCGAUAUACAGGAUGGGGAUGCGUUACAUUAGGUUGUUGGUGAGGUCACGGCUAACCAAGCCUUCGAUGGAUAGGGGUUGUGCUAGGAAGGUCCCCCACAUUGGAACUGAGACACGGACCAAACUCGUACGGGAGGGAGCAGUGAGGAAUAUUGGUCAAGGAGCGCUAGCCUGAACCAGCCAAGUAGCGGGAAGGAUGAAGGCGUAGGGGUCGUAAACUGCGAGUAUAGAAGAAUAUGUAUUAUAUGAAUAAGGAUCGGCUAACUCCGUGCCAGCAGCCGCGGUAAUUC